UUUGCAGCAUUCUGGCGUUGGCAGCAUAAGUAUAUACAGCCUAAGCGAGCUGGCAUAGCUCCGCUCUUGCAAGGAACAUUUGCUUUUAUGAUUUUCUUCUAUGUGAUAAAUUACCCGAAAUUGCGUAAGUAAAA
rfam:Cerapachys biroi unplaced genomic scaffold scaffold74, whole genome shotgun sequence.